rnacentral:rRNA from 1 species
UACGUAGGGUGCGAGCGUUGUCCGGAAUUAUUGGGCGUAAAGAGCUCGUAGGCGGUUUGUCACGUCUGCUGUGAAAUCCCGAGGCUCAACCUCGGGCCUGCAGUGGGUACGGGCAGACUGGAGUGCGGUAGGGGAGAAUGGAAUUCCUGGUGUAGCGGUGGAAUGCGCAGAUAUCAGGAGGAACACCGGUGGCGAGGGCGGAUCUCUGGGCCGUAACUGACGCUGGAGGAGCGAAAGCGUGGGGAGCGAACAGG